rnacentral:rRNA from 1 species
UACGGAGGGUGCAAGCGUUGUCCGGAUUUAUUGGGUUUAAAGGGUGCGUAGGCGGCCUUGUAAGUCAGUGGUGAAAGCCUCCAGCUCAACUGGAGAACUGCCAUUGAUACUGCAAGGCUUGAGUACAGACGAGGUUGGCCGAAUUGAUUGUGUAGCGGUGAAAUGCAUAGAUACAAUCAAGAACUCCGAUUGCGUAGGCAGCUAACUAGGCUGUAACUGACGCUGAGGCACGAAAGCGUGGGGAGCGAACAGG